UGUUGCCUAAUAAAUAUCACCAUCAUUUUUAUGCCCGCUUUUGAGGUAACCCCAAUUAACCAGGCCUACACUGCUCAAUGACAUAUGUCCUAGCUGGAGCCAGUAAUAACACUGAGCCACGCAAUGAAGGAGCAGGCCACCAAAGGAACAACAGAAAAAAAAGCAUGGAAUGGAGCAACCAGACGAGAGACUACAGGCGCCAGCCGCAAUGUAACUGCAGUCUCAGGUAUGCUGGGCGGACGAGGAGGCCAUUUCCCAGGGCUUCACCGGGAAAGACUGAGUGACACUGGCACCAGAGUCGGCUACAAUCUAGAGAAUGUUGGCAGUUCAGAUCUCAAUUGACAAAAAAAAAAUGCACUUGUGGAUAGAAUACAAUACAUUCUGUGAUGCUGGAUAACUUUUUUUACUACUUUUUGACUUGACUUCCUUUUCAAGAGUGUAUUGUAGUGCUGGAAGAUUAACUAAUUAACUCCCAAAUACCUAUUUAUAUGUCUUUUCAGACGCAACACAUCCAAUCCCAGGGACCUAUUUAUACCCCCCCCCCCCCCCAAGACUGAGGUUAAAAUAGGUCUGAAAAUGGCUGGCACUGAAUGAAUUAAUCAAAAUUUAAAUUCUGAAUUCGAUGUUGGUUUCUCCCAAUCUUCAAAAGGUUCUAAUCAUAGAUGCCAAAGUCCGGUCCUCCAGGGCUA